rnacentral:siRNA from 1 species
UAAAAGGCGAAAGAAUAGUUC